AAGGAAAUGUAGAGGGGAACCAUUGUUUGUUAUGUUCCGGGGUUCUCUGGUUUUCUUGGUGGGGUUUUUCCUGUGCGCCUUUUCCACCUCUUACCACCAGCUGGCGACAGGUUCCGGUUGGAGUGCGGUGGUGUCAUCAUCAUCCUCAGCUGUCAUCGAUUACCCUCAUCAGCGGAGCAUACUUUAGGAGUAGGCCGCCAGUCCAGCGUCGCCUGAGUGUUUGCCAGUCACGGUACCUCUGAGCCCCCUUGAGCCCUGUCUCUGUGUUCCUCGUUGCCUUGAGCCUUCCUGUGAUUCUCUGUGUUUCUCUGUUGCCUUCAGGUGAUCCCUUUUGACACUCUGGACCCGCUGACUAGAUCCUGGCCGUUUUUCUGGUUUCAGAACCUCCCUCGUGACGCCGUGGAAAGUACCCACUGGUUGCCCGAGUUCCCAGACUCACCUCUCUGUUGUCUGCAAGUAUCUCCUGGAUCCCACGGCUGGCGGCCGAACCACUCCUCUGUGUCUCCGUUGCACCCGAGCCUAGCUGUCCGUUCUCCGCCGCACUCCUCCGUUGUUCCUGGACCCACUAAGAGACCUAGACCCUGGACAUACUCAGUUACUUUCCAAGAUUCAGAUCCAACCUCCACAAUGAACCACUGCUGCCCGUUACCAUUGAUUCCCUGGACCAGACCACCUUGACACAUUCUGAUAAUUGUGUGAUCUUAAUAAAUCACUUAAACUGAU